UCUCCCAAGAUGGCGGCCCUUGCUUCCCCUCUGACAGAGCGCUUCCGGCCAGGGCCCCGCUUGGGCGGCAGUUCCGGGCAUGGCCGGCCUGUCAGACGCGGAGCUCGGCAGGGAGCUGCGGGCCUUGGGCUUCCAGCCGGGGCCAAUCACCGACUCCACCCGCGAGCUCUACGUGAAGAAGCUGAGCCGCCUGCGGGCGGAGGGGGCGCCUAGGCCCCAGUCGGGGAAGACAGCAGCCCCCAGCAUGGCCGGCCUGUCAGACGCCGAGCUCGGCAGGGAGCUGCGGGCCUUGGGCUUCCAGCCGGGGCCAAUCACCGACUCCACCCGCGAGCUCUACGUGAAGAAACUGAGCCGCCUGCGGGCGGAGGGGGCGGCCGGCCGGAGGAGCCAGAGCACAGGCAGUGCCUCCAGGCCUGAGCCGGCCUCGGCCUCCUACCCUCGCCGCAACCCCAGCCCCCUGGCACACAGGGCCCACAGCCAGGGCCGUAGGGAGAGUGAGGAGGAGGAGGAGGGCUCGGAGGAGGAAGAUGAUGGGUACCAGCCCCCCCGCAGGGAUGUAGCAGAGGGGCUAAACCCUUGGGCCCAGCUGGGGAAGACAGCAGCCCCCGGGGGGCUUGCCCCCAGCACUCAGUGGGGGGCAGAAAGGGGGUUCAACCCCAGCUCCCAGUGCGGGACAAGAGAUGUAAGGUUAGCCCCCAGGCCCCAGUGGGAGGCAGAAAGGGAGUUAGCCCCCAGGCCCCAGUGGGAGGCAGAAAGGGAGUUAGCCCCCAGGCCCCAGUGGGAGGCAGACAGGGAGUUAGCCCCCAGGCCCCAGUGGGAGGCAGACAGGGAGUUAGCCCCCAGGCUCCAGUGGGAGGCAGAAAGGGAGUUAACCCCCAGGCCCCAGUGGAGGACGAGGGAUGUGGGGUUAACCCCCAGCACCCAGGGGAGGACGAGGGAUGUGGGGUUAACCCCCAGCACCCAGGGGAGGACGAGGGAUGUGGGGUUAACCCCCAGCACCCAGGGGAGGACGAGGGAUGUGGGGUUAACCCCCAGCACCCAGUGGGGGACGAGGGAUGUGGGGUUAACCCCCAGCACCCAGCGAGGUGUAGAAAGGGGGUUAACCCCCAGCACCCAGUGGAGGACAAGAGAUGUUGGUUUAACCCCCAGCACCCAAUGGGAGACAGAAAGGAGACUAACCCCCAGCACCCAAUGGGAGACAGAAAGGAGGCUAAUCCCCAGCACCCAAUGGGAGACAGAAAGGAGGCUAACCCCCAGCACCCAGAGUGGGACAAGAGAUGGGUGGUUAACCCCCAGCACCCAGAGUGGGACAAGAGAUGGCGGGUUAACCCCCAGCACCCAGAGUGGGACAAGAGAUGGCGGGUUAACCCCCAGCACCCAGUGGUGGACAAGAGAUGGCAGGUUAACCCCCAGCACCCAGGGCAGGACAGCAACAGUAGUAGGGGGAUUAAUCCGCAGGAUCCCAUGGAGGACAGGGGGAGAAGGGUUAACCUCCACGAGUCAGUUGACAGGGGCAGCCCCCAAGCAGGGUGCAGUAGGAAAGGGUAAGGGUCUGGAGUUCUACCUGUCCUGGUUCCUGUACCUGGCCACCCUGGUGUUGUUGGUGAUUUUCCUGGGCAUCCUCUGGGCGAAGAUGAUCGGGCCAGGCUGGCUUCUGGGGGCAGAGGAGAACCUUAAACUGUUAACUGUGGAUUGUGAGACAAGGACAGAUGAUUUCUGUCAAGCUAAACAGAAGGACAUGUUAAUGACCAUGCUGUAUGAAUUAUAUAACUACCUGGCAAUACAAGCUGGUAGUUUUGAGUGUGGAAACCCCGAGAAGCUAAAAAGUAAAUGCAUUCUGGUUAGUGAAGCAAAGGAUUAUGUGGCGAAUGUAACCGGUAAUUCCCCAGAGAAGUUUGAAGCUGCCCUGCAAUGGAUACUGAACAGUAACAAUGAUUUAGGGAUAUGGUUAAAAGGGGAAGACCCAUCAGAACCGGUUACCAGUGUAGACCAGGUGGUGUGCCUCGAAUCCACCCGUCCUCGGAUGGGGUUAGGCUGUCGUUUCCGCCGGGCAAUAAGCACCGCCAUUAUGAACCUUUUCAUCUUCUUCUGGAGUCUGAUUGUCCUCUGGGGGAUCCUGUUACUCCUGAAGUAUCGCUGGCGGAAGAUGGAGGAAGAGGAGCAGGCCAUGUAUGAAAUGGUGAAGAAAAUCAUAGAUGCUGUCCAGGAUCACUACAAAGAGUGGGAACAGAGGUUGGAGCGAUACCCAUAUGUAGGCAUCCUUCACGUUCGAGACACCCUCAUUCCACCCCAAAGCAGGAAAAAAAUGAAGCGGAUCUGGAACAGAGCUGUGGACUUCCUGGCUUCGAACGAAUCACGGAUUCAGACAGAGUCACACAGGAUAGCAGGAGAGGAUAUGCUGGUGUGGAGAUGGACUCAGCCCUCUUACGUCUCCGAUUCAGAGCACUAACCAGGAGCAAAGGAGGAGCUGUUGGUUCAGUCUGUGCAAAGGGACAAUUCCCUCUUUGGAUGUGGGAAGGGAUGGACAGGAGUUCUAACUUUCUCAGUUUAGAAUCACCCCAACCCCCUUUCCCUUCUAUUUCGGAGAGACACUUAACAGAUUAUUUUUAGGGCAAUAAUCUUGGUUUGUGAGAAGAUGGACUUGAGCUAGAGAAGGAGCCAGAAGCACACCAAAGCUACCUGUCCAGUGAGUGUUUGAACUCCAUGAGUAAACAAACAUAUAAUCACUCUUUAAUACCUAAUAGAAAGGGGCAAGGGAUCUCUUUGCCCAAGGGGUAGGAGGUUUAAAGCUGACCUUUACUGUGGGAAGACCAACAAGUGGUUUUACCCAUCAGCAAAUGUUUUUUAAAAGAAUUAAUAUUUCCCAUGGAAACAUCAGGAAUGGGAGUUAGGAUCCAUUAGUUUAAAAAAUGCUUUUAUCUCACUAGCACACCAAGAAUCAAGCAUUCAACUGACGCUUAACAGAGAAGAGCUCUGUAUUUGUUUUGCCCUUACAAAGGGUGGGAGGGAUUGAGUGAGGGCAGCGUCAUGUGCCUUGAGAGAUUUGGGAUAUGGGGGACUGGAGGAGAGGUGGUGAUCUCCUAUGCUUUGUAUGUCUGCUUUCGUUGUGCUUUGUCUUAUACCAGGAACGGGGAGUGGCAAAUGACAGAACACAGGUGUACAUAAGGCGCAUGCUCUUAUGGCUGCAGCCAAAAAUGAUCGCUCCGUAUGUACAAAAAAAGAACUUGGGAAUGAACAUCCAGUAGUCAAGUUCCAGGAUCCCGGUGUGCUAGGCGCUGUACAAACACAGACCAAAAAGACGGUCCCUGCCCCAAAACGCCUACUGUCGAAGUAUAAGACGAGCCAACAGGCAAGCGCAAGGAAUCAGUGAGAUGCUACUGGUCAGCAUGAUAGUCAGUGGUCUUAGCACACCAGAAGCCGAGCUGUUGUCAGGUUCUUGGUAGGCAGGUGAGACUGAUUUCUGUGGGGAAAUGAUGGUGAUAUCCAUGAAAGGUGUAGACUGAGAAGGAUUAAUCCUAUGUGGACACUUGUGUAAAAGGUGUUGACAGCUUUAUGUAUAAUGAAAUAUUACCAACAUUAACUUCUAACAGCCGAUUGACCAACACUUGGCCACAACGCCAGAGGUUAAAGCUGCAGACGUGGGAGCAAGGAGAUAGGUGAUUUAUUGGUUUUGGGUGCCAUGCAUUUAGGAACCCACUCUCUGAAAGCCAGAUCCCUUUAAUGCAGUUCAGGUUGGGCAGCCAUAAUCAUUAUACACUUCUGAAAAUCGUGGGCCUGGGUUCUAUUCCAACCUGUCACUGACUCACGGUGAUGCCUUGGACAAGUCACUUAAUUGAGUAGGACGACACCUGCCUUUCCAAAGUGCCAUGAGAUCUUCAGAUGAAAAGUGCUAUAUAAAUGCCAAGAGCUAUUGUAGGAAAAACUGGGAAGCAGGUGUGUUGCUUAGUGGAUAGGGUACUGGACUGGGACUUGGGAGAUCUGAAUUCUAUUCCCAGCACUGGCCUGCUGGGAGACCAUGGGCAAGUCACUUCCCCUCUCUGCACCUCUGUUUCUCCAUUUUACAGUUGGGAUAAUGAUACUGACCUCCUUUGUAAAGCAGUUUGAGACCUACUGUUGAAAUGGCUGUAUGAGUGGUAGGUAGUACUAUUUUCUUUACCCUUGCGUGUCUGAUGUAGAAGACUCAUGUCAUGGUAGCACUUCUGCCAAGGAGGGCAGGGAGAAAAUAGCCAUGACGGGGUGAAGGGAAGAGGUCAAAGUCCCAGCCCACCUCCUAGAUAACUGGGAGGCCAUCCUUCAAAAGAGCCUGCCAGGUAGAAAUAGUUUCUAAAUCUUGCAAGAACGCUAGCAAGCCUGAAUUAAUCCUUUUAAGUUCCUGCUAGUAUCCAUCCACCUAAGUAUUUCUAAUGCAUCUCUGUUAGCUGAGUGCCUGUGGGUCAGCAUGACUGUGCAUCACAAGCUGACGGUGGGUUUAACUUGUCGCUUUCACAAGCAGGCUCUUGAAACAAGCAGAAUUUGAAUCAUCAACACUUAACGUCUAUGGCCACAGCUGACUCAUAGGCUCUGGGUUGGUGAGAUAUGUUUGUUUAUCUCAUAAUGUAUGUCUUGGUGACAAAGAGGCAGAUCUUCAAUGGCACAAAAGAGAAUUAGCUGCCCAUCUCCCAUUGAAAGCUGACAGGAAUUGGGUACCUAACUCCUUUUGCUGUUUUGGAAAAUAUUCUCUGAAGUGUCUCUCUUGUUGUUGCUAGGUAUGUGAACAGAAAGGGGUAGAAAGAGGAGUGGUGCUUAAUGAAAGGUUAAACCUCCCUCCUCCAAGACUGCAUUUCUGUUUAGAUGCUAGUGCCCAGCAUAGGUUGCUAAGUUACAGCUGGGAUAUAUGCAGGGUUAGGAAUAGUCUGGGGGUUUGAUGUACCUACGUGUGCAGUCUGUCUGCCUGCUUCAAACCGAACUGCCAAGAACUCCCCCGUAAUGAUCCCUGGGAGAAUGGGCAUAGAGAAGCUUUGGGUAAUAGGAACUUUUUGAAAAUGAAGAGGGCUUUAACCCUAUAUAACUAGUUUAAGGCUAUCCUUCCUGUCAGUCUCCAUUAGGAACCCUAGUUCCUGCUUGCUCUGUAAAACUGUACUGACAAUUCAAAACACCUGUACAGCACUCUUUAUAGAUCCCAAAGUGCUUAUACAAAAGGUGAAGAAUUGUCCCCAUUUUCCUAAUGGUCAUUCAGCCACUUGAUCAAUCUCCCCUGUUCAGUGCUUUCCUUACCACUUGUACUGACUUUAUCGUUUUUAAAGUCUCCCCCACUCUCUGUAAGCAUUAAGACUCUGUGAAUAAAUCCUCAAAUGGCGGGCUGAUAAAGCCCUUGCAUCCCCUUGUUGUCAAAAAAAAAAAAAUGUACCAGCAAGGCAUCUAAAAUAAAAUUUGCCCUUUAUCUUUU